rnacentral:lncRNA from 1 species
UGGGCAGUUUAGGGGCAACUUGUUGCCAACGAUAAGCCAGCUCCGUUGCGCCUUGUUCCAAGGUCCUUUGCACGGUGAAAACAGUGACCCUAGGUGGGACACGAACCAACUUGAUCCGCCAUGAAAGGAUGAUACCAAAGCUAGUUGUUCCACCGCCUCUUAUUGCCCAAAACACAUCUUCCCCCAUCGAUUUACGGUUAAGGAUUCGACCAUUAGCGUCGAUCAACUGUGCAUCAAUGACAUUAUCAAUGGAAAGCCCGUAUUUUCUAAUUAAAAACCCAUACCCACCUCCACUGAAGUGUCCACCAAUGCCUAGAGUGGUACAAACACCAGAUGGGAACCCAUGGACAUUGCUCUUCUCGGCUAUCCUAUAAUAAAGUUCGCCGGUAGUAGCUCCUGCUUGAACCCACGCCGUCUCAGUCGACAUGUCGAUGUCUAUAGAGUUUAGGUUGAACAUAUCGAGAAUAACAAACGGGACAUCAGAAGUGUACGAAAGUCCCUCGUAAUCAUGACCACCACUUCGAAUCCUUAGUUGAAAAUCAUGUCGCUUGGCGCAAAUGACAGCGGCUUGUGCAUGAGAUGGAUGUAGAGCAGUUAUAAUGGCCACCGGUCUCGAAGUUGCUGAUAAAAAAGUUCGAAGAUUAUUAGCACGUAAUUGGUAUAUAUAUUGAAAAGAUGAAUUGUUGGGGGUUAAAAUUGCAUCGGUAAUCGGAAUAGAAGAGUCAGAUUGUUUAGGCAAACAUUGAAAAAAAUCAUCGAAAUCAUCUGAAUCGGAAGGUGUUACAGAUGAAAUCGAUAACAAAAUGAAAAUUGAAAUGAUGGGAAAGAUGGAGCUUGAAAUUUUCAUUUUUGUUUUCCAGAUGGUAUUGGUGCAUUGCUAUAAUGAUUUAAUGGGGGCAUAUAUAUAUAUAUAUAGAGGGGAGGGACCUAUUUGGAUUAACUCAAAGCCAAUCUCUAAUUCUUAAAGUCUUUCUAAGACUUUUGAGAAAGAGAAGUUCAUUUUUGUUUUUAAUUUUGUUUCUAAAAUAUUUAGUAAAAUCUUUAUUCGACUUUCUUUUUGCCAGAGUGUACACACACACAUAUUUAUUAUUUCUUUGUUUGACGAACCAACUUUGUGUUCGAACCUUCCAAUAUUUAGUUUUUAUAUAUUAAUUUGAUUGAUUUGUAUUUUUUGUAUUGAUUAAUUUUAAUUUUUAUAAUUUUUAAAAUUUAAAAUUUUACUCUUAACUCAGCUAGUAGCAAUUAAACUCCUUUGGUUAAAUUCAAUUAUUAGUCUUAUACUAUGCAUAUAGUUGUAGAUUUAGUUCAUAUUCUUCAAUUGGAUCAUUUUAAGCUGCCGUGCUUUUCUUAAAAUUUCAAUUUUAACACAAUGACUGUUAUUAAUCCAUUAACUAGAUUUUUAGUGAAUAAUAUGUGUAAAUAACAAGCUGGUAUUACAUUAUACAUAUAAUAAUAUGUUUGUUGUAUCAAGUUUUAGAAAUAACAAUAUUUAAUGAAUUUAGCAAUUAUCUUUUAGUGAGGACUGGAAUUUUAAAAUUUAAAAGUAAAAAGAUAAAAAUGACCAAAUUAAAUUACAUGAAUUAAAUCUAUAACUUUCUUAAAGUAUAUGAACUAAUAGCAGAAUUUAACCUUUAUAAUUAUACUUUCGGAUUUAUACGAUGAGUUAAUUUCACUAAACAUCUUUAAACUAUGAUUCUUAUUUUAAAUUGGCCCUUAAAUUUUAAAUCACUCUAAUUACAUCAUUAAACUAUCGAGGUUAUAUCAAUUAAGUCCUUUCGAUACUAAAAUUUUACAUUUGGGUCAAAUAAAAAAUUAAUAUAUAAGGAAAAAAAGUGGAAUAGAGAUUUUAUUCAAUUUAAAAACAAUAUAAAAAACAAAAAUGAAAUUUCUUUAUUGAAAAGUCUUAGAAACAUGUUCAAGACUUUGACAAUUUGAGAUAAACUUUGAGCUGAUCCAAACAGGUCCCUCCCCUCUAUAUAUAACCCAUUAAAUCAUAAUAACAAUGCAACAAAAAUGAAAAUUUCAAGCUCCAUCUUUUCCCUUAUUUCAAUCUUCAUUUUAUUAUUGAUUUCAUCAGCCACAUCUUCCGAUUUUGAUGAUUUUAUUCGAUGCCUUCCUCAACAGUCUAAUUCUUCUCUUCCGAUCACCGAUGCAAUAUUAACUCCCAACAAUUCGACUUUCCAAUCUAUAUACCAAUUACGUGCUAAUAAUCUUCGAACUUUUUUAUCAGCAACUUCGAGACCGGUGGCCAUUAUAACCGCUCUACAUCCAUCCCAUGCACAAGCCGCUGUCAUUUGCGCCAAGAGACAUGAUUUUCAACUAAGGAUUCGAAGUGGUGGUCAUGAUUUUGAGGGACUUUCGUACACUUCUGAUGUCCCGUUUGUUAUCCUCGAUAUGUUCAAUCUAAACUCUAUAGAUAUCGACAUGUCGACUGAGACGGCGUGGGUUCAAGCAGGAGCUACUACCGGCGAACUUUAUUAUAGGAUAGCCGAGAAGAGCAAUGUCCAUGGGUUCCCAUCUGGUGUUUGUACCACUCUAGGCAUCGGUGGACACUUCAGUGGAGGUGGGUAUGGAUUUUUAAUGAGAAAAUACGGGGUUUCCAUUGAUAAUGUCAUUGAUGCACAGUUGAUUGACGCUAAUGGUCGAAUCCUUAACCGUAAAUCAAUGGGGGAAGAUGUGUUUUGGGCUAUAAGAGGCGGUGGAACUACAAGCUUUGGUAUCAUCCUUUCAUGGCGGAUCAAGCUGGUUCGUGUUCCACCUAGGGUCACUGUUUUCACCGUGCAAAGGACCUUGGAACAAGGCGCAACGGAGCUGGCUUAUCGUUGGCAACAAGUUGCCCCUAAGCUACCCAAAGAUCUCUUCAUUAGACUCCAGCCUGAACCUAUCAACAAUGGUGGAAACAAUAAAACCGUUAGGGUUUCAUUCAUCGGCCAUUUUCUGGGACAAGCUGAUGGACUUUUACGAUUAAUGAACGUAAGCUUCCCCGAAUUGGGAUUGACCCGAAAUGACUGUUUAGAGAUGAGUUGGGUGGAAUCGACCUUAUACUGGGCGAAUUUCCCCAAUGGAACCUCCAUUGAUGUGUUGCUCGAUAGAGUUCAAGAAAACAGAGUGUUCUCCAAGAGCAAGUCCGAUUACUACAAAGCAUUGAUCCCCAAACAAGGGUUAGAGACCUUAUGGCAAGGAUUAAUGGACAUUGAAGACAUCUUCGUCCAGAUGAACCCUUACGGUGGGCGAAUGGAAGAGAUUUCGGACUCGGAGACCGCGUUUGCACACCGAGCCGGAAACCUCUUCAUGGUGCUGUACGGGAUCCAAUGGUCCGAGUCUGACGGAGGGAUCAACGCCACGGAACGUUACGUUGAGAUGUCGAGGAGGUUGUACGACGCAAUGGCCCCGUACGCAUCGAGCAACCCAAGAGAGGCGUUUCUCAACUACCGAGACCUCGACAUUGGCAGCAACGAAAGCGACGAGACGGAUUUCGAGGAUGCUCAAGAAUACGGCGCUAAAUAUUUCCGAAACAAUUUCAUAAGACUAGCAAAUGCAAAAGCCACGAUCGAUCCCGAGAAUUUCUUCAAGAACGAGCAAAGCAUACCACCAUUGCCUCAUUGAAAUCCUGGCCUUCUACAAUCAUCUAUAAAUGAAAACCAAAUAUCUUAUGAAUUUGCUUGUAAUUUUAAGCAUAUCAUGUUCUUGCAUUUAUAAUAAAUAAGAAUAUCUUUAUGUGAUUUUGUUUGUGUAAUUCACAAUAAAAUAACUUGUAUUGUAUAAGAAUUAAUUGUAUCUAUGAUCCUCAUUUUUAACUAGUAUUCAAAUUUUAAAAUAUUUUAAUUAUAUCCUCAAAUUAUUGAAUAGGAGCGGCACCAAGGGGUUGGUACUUGGUAGGGGCCCGUUAUAUUUUAUUAAAUUAUAAAUUAAUAAAUAAUCAAAUUGUACUUUGACCCCAAAAUGAUAAAAUUUUAAUUUAUUUCUUUAAAAAAUAUAAAUAUAUAAGUUAAUACAAUGGUUAAAAUGCAUUUUAGCUCUCAUAAAAAUACAUAACUAGUCCCCCCCCCCAAAAAAAAGACAUAAUAUCUGGCUUCACCCCUUCUAUUAAGGUUAUAUCAAUCAAGUUCUUUUGUUAUUAAAAUUGUUAAUUUAACCACUAAAUGAUACAUUAAAUCUUAUGUAGCUAACUUUAAAAUGAAAAUUUUUAAUAAAUAAUUAAUUCAAUAAUUAAUUUAAUUCAUGUGACAACUAAAUAUAUACAAUACCAACUGUGUUCGUAUUCUGUUUGCUUCAACCAUUAGGUGUGGCCCUGUAGGCUCUUGUAACGUUAGUAGUAAUACAAUAACAUUUCUAAUGUUACAAGCAAUGAGUGACAUUUAGCAAUGCACCAUUGCUGCUCAAGUUACAAGAAGUCGUGAAUCGAUAUAACCUUUCUGUGAUAAAAUUUUCAUGUAUUAUAUCAUUUUGUCCUUUAUAUCUAAAUUGGACACAAGUCAUGAAAUAGUCACACUUGUAUAGUCUAAUAUCAUAUUUCUUGAUAUUUUGAAUAGACUACAAUAAACAAAUAAGUGUGAUAUUUUAUAUAAGCUUAUUUGAGUAUGACCAUCCAUUUCUAGUCUCACUCCAUCAAGUGACCAUUAUGUAGGAGGGACAAAUCCUAUCUUGAUCAAUCAUAUCCCAUUACAUAGACUUUGGUAUAUCCAACACCAGUCUUUAUAGUACAACCUGUUAUGGUAGACGUUUGAGUUUAUUGUUAGAUUUGUGUGGCCCAAAUUCCUGUUAAAAAUAAAAGUACAAGUGGCAAGAUAGGGGGAUCUACGAGAGUGAAGGCCGAGUUGUUACGAUACAAGCUGCACAAAUGAAUAAGGUGUUUUAACCUUACUGCAUUACUUCUAUUUGACUUUGAUUAGAAUAAGGUUUUAAACCUAUCAAUAGAUGUAAUUUUCUCUCAUUUUGUAUCAUUUGAAUUCGACAUAGUGAAUUUUCUUCUCCUCCGCCCGUGAUUUUUAUUCCGAAAGGGUUUCCACGUAAAAUUCUGUGUGUUCUAUUUUUUCUUUCUUUUCUUUGCGAUACAUUGCCAUUAUCGACGUUCAAUUUAUCACAUGUAUCAAAAUAUACGACUCACGAUGUUGGGACAAUGAUGAUCUCAAGUUUGAGGAUCGUAUACAUAAUUAUCACUAUGAAUAUUGUUGUGAUUAUUACAUAAUAAUCCAAGAAAUAUACUCAUAGCAGGUCAGUCUAGUAUAUUGUUCUCUAACACAUACUCAUAUAUUGAUUUUGACAACCUUAUGUCAGAUGACACUUUAUCAUCAAUCAACUAUUAACUUGAAAGAAAUAAAUUUGAAACUUUUAUUUAUAAAAGUUGAAAUCUAAAGUUGAUAAAAAGAAAUAGAAUGUUGAAUAAAAGUCAUAGAUGUAUAUAAACAUGAUAAGAUAUUUAAUUUAAAAGUUAGGCAGAGUUCUUGAUAAGGGGUAGCUAGGGGCUGAAAUGGAAAUUUUUUCAUUUAGGUUAUUUAAAAUUUUUAAAAUUUAAAAUUAGUAAAGGUAGAAUUGUACUUUGACCCCUAAAAAUGCUAAAAAUUUGAUUUAAUAUUUUAAAACUUAUAAAGAUAUAAGCUAUUAAAAUAGUGAAGUUAUAUUUUUACUAUCGUUAAAAUUUUUCAUUUAAUUUUGACCCCCUUAAGAAAAUUUUCUAGCUUUGCCCUUGAUUCUUGACCUCUCAAAGUAAAAAUUGUUUGUUUAAUCUCCUCUAAAAUAGUUGAAUUAUAAAUUAAUAUAUGAUAAAAUUAUACUUUGAUCCUAAAAAAUGAAAAAAAAAUUCUUUCUAGUCUCUUAAAAAUAAUGAAAUUAUAAAUUAAUAAAUGAUAAAAUUAUAUUUUAGCUUCUAAAAAAUUUAUAAUUAAAUUUCGACCUCCUCUAAAAAAAUUUCUAGAUUCCUUUGAUAAGAUAGAGCAUGUCUUGCACACACCAUAAGGGCAAUCCCUACAAUUUGAACAAAUCAUUGCCAUGCACAAGUAGGAAUCCCUGCAACUUGCGGCUUGAGCAAAAAAUCUGAGCUGUAGGGUGAAGACUCAUAACCAAUAAACCAAAUGUUGGAGUUCAAUGAGAUAUUUAUAUAAUAUAAUUAUUAUGAUUUUUCAAUUUUUAUAUUAUAAAAUUUUUAUUAUUUAUUAAUAGUAUUAAACUCGAAUUCAACUCGAUUAAUAGCUCAAGCUCAAGCUCGACUCGAUAAUUAUUGAAUCAAGUUUGAAUUUUCUUCGAGUCGAACUCAAGUAGCUUGCAAAUCUUAGUGUCUUAUUUAUACUCCUAUUUCAAAUUCUCCAAUUCUCCCAAAAACACUUUUUUUUUGUGUGUGUGAAAAUGGCAGAACCAAGCUUUUAGGAAAAGUACAUUGCCGGCUACGGUAUCAAUAUGGUAAAAUAUUUCAAAAUUUAAUAUUAUUCUUGUCAUUUUUCUUAAUAGCAAGAUGAUCGAGUUGUUCAUGUUAGGCACAAUUUAAAAUUUUUGAAGACCUAUGAAAGUACAGUAAAAUGUUUGAAGAAUAUUGAUUUAUAUGUGACAUCUACAAUGACAAAAUUCAAUGGCAUUUCGAAAUUGCUUGCUACAUUCUUAGAGAGAUGGAAGCUAGAAAUGUAGGCAUUUAAUUUUUCAUGCGGGAAGCCACUAUUACACUCAAAUAAAUCGCUUUAAUAAUUAACCUUUCAAUCAAUGGGCACAAGGUAAUUAAACUUAGUACCAUCAAAUGCAAUAAGAGUGUUAUUGGUUGUUGGAUGCCGUGUCGUUUAAGAUGAGAUUGGAGAAAAUUAAACAAGGUUCACGUGAAGUACUUAUAAUUAGAGAAACUUAUUACACCAAUUCAAUUUGGAUUUAGUCUGACUUAAUUUAUCGACACUUAAAAUCAAAUUUGUGACCCAAAAUUUUCUUCAAUUUUCCUCCCUAAAAAUCUUAAAACAAAUAAAAAAUUUAAGUGUCAAAUUGGUAAAAUAAACCUUAAGUAUGGAAUUGAAAAAAAAAUUAUGACACAAAUAAAAGAGGGUCAAAUUGAAUUACACAAAUAAAAAAAGCUAUUACUGUAAAGAAAGAUUGAUAAAGUAUUUAUUUACUAAAAUAUGUUCAAAAGAAAGGUUGAUAUUAUCUACAUUCGGAUCAUGUAAAAAACAAAACAUAUAAAUAAAAAUCAAUACAUAAAAAGAUAUUGAUUUGAAUUUCAUAAAUUAUUAAUAUCAUUAUUAUUACAUAAAAACUUCAAUAUAUUUAAUUUUUUAAACAAGUAUAAUUAAAUAAAAAUUAAAAUACUCAAAUACAGAAAAGAGAAAUUAAUAUAUUGUUUUAAUGAGAUGGCGGCGUUGGUAAAGGCGGUAUGCUUUGUUCGUUCUUGAAGAAAUUCUCAGGGUCUAUCUUGGCUUUCACACUCGCCAGCCUCAUCAAAUUGUUCAUGAAAUACUUUGCUCCGUAUUCCUUCGCAACCUCAAAAUCCGUCUCGCCGCUUUCGUUGCUACCGAUGUCGAGGUCUCGGUAAUUGAAAAACGCUUCCCUCGGGUUGCUCGACGCAUACGGGGCCAUCGCAUUGUACAACCUCCUUGACAUCUCCACAUAACGCCCUGUGGCGUUGAUCCCUCCUUCGGACUCGGACCAUUGGAUCCUGUACAGUGCCUUGAAGAGGUUCCCACCGCGGUGCGCAAAGGCUGUCUCCGACUCCGAUAUCUCCUCCAUUCGCCCACCGUAAGGGUUAAAUUGCACGAAUAUGUCUUCAGUGUCCAUCAAAACUUGCCAUAAGGUUUCUAACCCUUGUUUGGGAAUCACUGCUUUGUAGUAAUCGGACUUGGUCUUGUAAAACACUCUGUCUACUUGAACUCUAUUGAGCAACACAUCAAUGGAGGUUCCAUUGGGGAAACCCGCCCAAUUUAAGGCCGAUUCGACCCAACUCAUCUCUAAACAAUCAUUUCUGGUCAAACCCAAUUCAGGGAAUCUUACGUUCAUUAAUCGUAAAAGUCCAUCAGCUUGUCCCAGAAAAUGGCUGAUGAAUGAAACCCUAACAGUUUUAUUGUUGCCGCCAUUGUUGAUAGGCACAAGCUGGAGUCUAAUGAAGAGAUCUUGGGGCAGUUUAGGGGCAACUUGCUGCCAACGAUAAGCCAGCUCCGUUGCGCCUUGUUCCAAGGUCCUUUGUACGUUGAAAACAGUGACCCUAGGUGGGACACGAACAAGCUUGAUCCGCCAUGAAAGGAUGAUACCGAAGCUAGUAGUUCCACCGCCUCUUAUAGCCCAAAACACGUCUUCCCCCAUUGAUUUACGGUCAAGGAUUCGACCAUUAG